GCUGUCAUGUCAUGUUGGAGCAGGUCUGAUGCAGCUGUAACGCAAAGACUUCUUGAGUGGUGCAAGGUGAACUGCAAAUGUAUUUGAGCAGUAGAGAUUUUGUAAUGCAUAGAAGAGACACCUUGCUGUUUUCUCUGGGAAGGGUUGUUGAUUUCAAGUUGACAGAAAAAAAAAAAAGCUCAGGUGGCAGGCAGUAGAUGGAAACUCUAGUAUGUAGAGUUCUCAGUUUGAUUAUAGUAUAAGAAUCGUGACUCUCAGUGUAGGUGCACUGUUAAAUCACUUUCAAGCACUGAGGCAACUUUUUGACAGACCUAAAAAGAAAUUCUCUCUGGAUUUCUGGAUUCUGGAGCUCAAAUAGAGUCAAAUGAGGAAUAGCAUUGCCUUCCUUGUUCAUGAUAGAGUCAGUACUUUUUUUAUUUGACAGUGAGAGAGAGAGAGACAGAGAGAAAGGUCUUCCUUCCAUUGGUUCACUCCCCAAAUGGCAGCCAUGGCUGGAGCUACGCUGAUCCAAAGCCAGGAGCCAGGUGCUUCCUACUGGUCUUCCAAGUGGGUGCAGGCCCCCAAGCACUUGGGCCAUUCUCCACUGCCCUCCUGGGCCACACCAGAGAGCUGGACUGGAAGAGGAGCACAGGACUAGAACCUGGUGCCAAUAUGAGAUGCCGGUGCCACAGGAGGAGGAUUAACCAAGUGAGCCACGGUGCUGGCUCUGGAACUCAUCUAUUUCUGACUUGUAGGUAAACUAGGAUUGCCAGAUCCAAGUAUGAUAUAUAUGGUUUAGCUUGUAUUUUUAUCAGCAAUGAGUCAAAUUUGGAGUAUCUCUCUUUCAAGUGCCAAAGAUAGUAUUACAUAUGCAAAUAUACAUACACAUAUGCACACACACACACUUUGCUGAAGUUAGUUUUUUUAAUCAUGAAGGGAUGUUGAUUUUGUCAAGUGUUUUUAUGGAUCUAUUGAGAGGAUCACAUGAUUUUUGUCUUUUAUUAUAUUAAUAGGGUGUAUGAUAUUACUUGAUUUGCAGAUAUUAAACCAAUCUUGUAUCCCUGGGAUAAAUUCCAUUUUGUCAUAGUAUAUAGUCUUUUUAUAUGUGUCUAUAUUUGGUUUACUACUACUUUGUUGAAUUUUUUAUGUUUGCAAUCAUAAGAAAUGUUGAUGCAUAAAUGUUCUUUCUUGUGAUAUUUUUGUGCUGCACUGAUUGCAGGAAAAUAAGACCCUAGAAUUCUUUAGCCAAUAUUACCUCCUUUUCUGUUUUUUGGAAAGAUUAAAUGAAAAGUUGGUAUUAAUUCUUCUUUAAGUAGCAAAAUUUAUCAGUAGUACCAUCUGAUUAUUCUUUAUGGAAAGUUUGUGGUUAUUAAUCAACAUCCAUUUGUUAUGGAUCUAAUCAGACUUUACAGUUAUUCUUUUUUUAAAUUUAUUUGACAGAUAGAGUUAGACAGUGAGAGAGAGACAGAGAAAAAGGUCUUCCUUCCGUUGGUUCACCCCCCAAAUGGCUGCUACAGCCGGAGCUACGCUGAUCCGAAGCCAGGAGCCAGGUGCUUCUUCCUGGUCUCCCAAGCGGGUGCAGGCCCCAAGCACUUUGGCCAUCCUCCACUGCCUUUCUGGGCCACAGCAGAGAGCUGGACUGGAAGAGGAGCAACCGGGACUAGAACCCAGCACCCAUAUGGGAUGCCGGUGCCACAGGUGGAGGAUCAACCAAGUGAGCCACUGGGAUGGCCCCUCAUUUUAGAUUUUUAUAAGUUGCAACACUUGUAGUGCUUUACAUUUUUGUAUUUGAAUCCAUAAUUUUUAAAGCACCUUAUUUUCCAAAGACUAUUCUUUCUCUGUUGAAUUACUUUGAGUGAGAGUGGGAGGCUAUUGUAACCAAACAGCAUGAUGUGGGCAUAGGGAUAGACACAUUGAUCAAUGGAAUAGAAUAGAAAAACCAGAAAUUAAUCUACACAUCUGUAUCCAGCACAUCACUGACAAAGGUAUAUAAAUACUCCUCUGAGAAAGAGCAGUCUCUUCAGAAUGGUGUUGGGAAAAUUGUAUUUCAACAUGCAGAAGUUUGAAACAAAACCCCUAACUUAGACCUAUAUGAACAGCACAGUGACUGAGAGCCAGCAGAGAGACAGGAACAAGGCGUAGUGCAGCUCCUGCCUCGGCUCCCUGACUACAGGGACAGAAUCCUGCUGGUAAAAGACCAGAAUAAGGCACCACAGCCCCAUCACCACCAUAGACUGGCCACCCUAGUCAUGGGAGAGUUCCACAGUUCUUGCUGCCGAAGUCCAGUGGAGAAAGCUGGUAAUGGUCUGAACAAGUACUCUGCUCCUCGACUGCCCACAACGUGCCAGACCUGAGCUUCUGCCUUCCAGCCACGGCCAAUGUCCAUUCUGCCUAUGUGACAACAAGUAGCCCCAUCACUACCAGAAUACCAAGAACCAAGGCCAGGAUUCUUCCCAGGGAGGAGAGAAGACCCUGUGCAUCCCGCACACGCAGGAUUUCUGAGCACCAGUCCCAGAGCCACAUUAUCUUGGGAAGUUACCCUCAGUUUUGGGGGCUUGGCACAAGCAGCAUACUGUGCAAAUUCCCUGAGGACAAGAUCAAGGAAGUUCUCUUCUUCUGCCCUUUCACAGGGUACUGGUGGCCAGGGGGCAAGCAUGUUCUGUAGGAACCGGGGCAGUUCCCUCUGCCCUGCAGCUUUGGGACUCACUGUGCUACCAUCUCAGGAAUAACUUGCAGUUAACUGUUGGAUCUUGAGUGAGGACCCUAUCUAUGUUUCUACGCUUCAGGCUGGAAGCUCUCAAUCCUCAGUCCUCGGAGUAGCUGACGCUCACCCUGUGAAACCUAGGUAAGGACUUCCCUUCCUCCAGGACUGAGACUGCUGUUAGCAUAUUCCUGACAGUCAUUGGAACCUACCCUACAGGACCCAGAGAGGAACAUACCUGCAUUCCACUGCUCCAGACCCAUACCUACUAGUGUACAAUUCCCAGCCCCUGUAUUCCUCUUGUGGGACUGGGGCUAGGUACCCUUCACAUACCCCAAUGUUUGGACAAGGGAUUUUGGUGAUGUAAGUCCUAACAUCCAUCAUGUUCACCCAGCAGGCCAUGGGAAGGUUCUAUCCAUGUCACACAGUCCCAUGAGUACAGUUCUUGAUGCCACAGGCCUAAGAACCACUGGGGUUUGCAAAGCAGAACAAGAGGGCAGCCCUCUCUCUGUCCCACACUAGGAAUGUGCUUGUAGUCAUCACAUACCAUAGUGUGACUGGCAGUUCACUAUUUGGGGAAUGAAGACACACACCUUUGGAAGCUCACAUACACCCUUGGAAGCCCCCCUCCAUGUCACUCUGGCUGGGGGUCUUUGACUCUAAUAAAUCUUGCUUUUAAAUCUCUCUGCUUGUCUGCUUGGAAAUUCUUCUUCCACGUGAGACAAAGCACCAAGGUCAUAAUAUUGUCUCCACUGACAUUCCCUACAACAUUUUGGUGCCAUGACUCAGAUAACAACUCCAAUGUGAUACGGAUCCUGCUCGAGUUCAACUCCAGCCAGUGUCGGAUCAUCCUGCCAGACCAGUGAGCAUGCAGACCACUAUAGCUUUAUUCAGAGAGCCUCAACUCCUCCAGAGUAACUCCCAUUUUCUCAAAAACAGCGGGUCCCUGUCAGCCCAUUAAAUGUGAUUAGCAUGAAUGCUGACCAAGGCCAGAGCAAUCCCAUGGAGCUGAGACUCUAUUCUAUCCACUCUUCUCUGGUGUGGUUUGGCUCUUCCACUGGGACUGGCAGAAGGACUUGAGGCAACUGAUAGAUUCUGGCUGGGGCUCCACUCCAGUGUUUCUGGAAGUCUGUGGCCAGGCACUAGACCCCAGUGGUGGUGGGCUGUGAAACACCUCCCCUCCCUAUUGUGUGGGUUGGCCCUUCAUGUGGGACUGGCAGAAGGACUUGAGGUAACUGAUAAAUUCUGGCUGGGGCUCCACACCAGUGCCAGUCCAGUUGGGCUGAGAAACGCACUUCCCGGCAGGGAGCAAGUCCUCUGCUGUUUGGGAGUCCUCAUGAGGUGUAAAGCCAGGGGCCCUAUUCUUCAUACUUCUCAUCUCAGCUCUGGAAUGUUGGCUGGUCCAACUCAGCUUCCUUUCAUGAGGAUUGGCCUAUCAUACGGGACUGGGAGAAUGGCUUGGAGUCAUCUUGAAAUUCAGUUCAGGGCCACUCUCUGGAAUUUUUCAAGGACUCCCUGAUGGACACCAGAUCUUGAUGACCCAUUAGGGUGCCAGCCGAAAACUGCAUUUGGUUCUUCCUUCCUCAGAGAUUAAUUUGUCAGUAAGAUGGGGCCACAGCUUAGAGCGAAGCCAAGGGCUUUGGGCUCCAUGCCUCAAUGAGUUUUUCCCUUACCCCAGAUCCUGACAAGAUCUCUGUCUCUGCUCCUCUAAAUGCUUGCCAUACAUCUCUAGGUCUCUUCAAUUCCUACAAACUCAAAUUCUUGGCCCCAUUAGCAGGUAUUUCCUCAGUAUUUAGUUCAAUAGCUCUGGGUUAAAGUUCAGUUAUUGAUUUUUGCAGACAGGUAGCUUGUCAAUCCAGACUAUCAUUAAGUCACCAUGUGGCCUGAACUUGUGCAGACAAGUCUCAGCAUGUCUGUGGGAUCCCCUAGCUUCCUUCUUGAGUCCGUUCUUCUGGGUCCCACUGUUGGAUCUUCCUAUGUAGUUCCUGCCUCAGGAAGUUUGCUGUUUCUUUAUUCCUUGUCUGCCUAGUCACCAGCAUAGGCAGUAACCAGCACUGGCACUCUUUCACCAAACUCUAGCUUAAAAAUACCUUUGCUAAGGCUCCCGCCAUGAAGGCUCAUUGUCAGAAUCAGGCCUAUUAGGUAAGACUCAAGGUUAAGAGGCAUUGAUCAACUACUUUUCCCUACAGAAAAAUGCCUCGUCUUCUGCACCAUCAUCUGGCCUGGGCACAAGCUAGAGGAUGGAGAAAUUAGCCUAAGUGAGUUGUGAAAAGUGCCAGCCCCUCUACUCUGACUCUCCAUCUCUCAGAACCUUGUUUCCUAACUGAUCUCUUCCCUCUCUCACCCGGUAUGUGCUCCAAUAUGCAUUAAAUUCUUUUCCAGGGUGUCACAGCGUCUUUGGGUCUAUUUAGUGAAGCACCAGUGCCCCUCUUUUAUGGAGUUUGACUAUUGUUGAGGUUUUUAAUCCCAGAGGAGGGUUUUUUUAAUCAGGUGACCAUUGCCCCAUUGUAAUUUUGCCAGGGGGCUUCUAGGCAAGUAGCUAGGCCCAACAACUUCAGAUGCCAUUGAAUGUAUAUGUUGAUAAAAAGUCUUGAAAUUGAGACACCUUCCAACCUGAUUCUAGGCUGGGGCUAAAGAUUCUAGGUUGUGUCUAAAUGUAAACUUUGAUACUCUUAACACCUUAUAUUAUAUGGAAAAACUAUUUGGGCUUGCUAACAUGCUUUCAUAAAUUGUCCGUAUGAAAAUAGUUUAAUGCUGCUUGAAAGUAACUAAGGUUGAAAUCGACCGUUUUUUAUUAGAAAUAAUGUAUACAAUCACUGACAACAUAUUUCAGUUACAGCACAGCUUGGUAUCAUCUUAGUUGUUCAAGCACAGGAAUCCUGCAGAAGCUUUCCUUGCCUUACUGUGUGUGUUUAGGCACCCGCAUCUUUGUGUUUGCCUUUUGGUUCCAUCCUCCCAGUCUUUCCCUUGGAAUAUUGCCAGCUGGAGAAACUGCUCCUUUAAUAAGUCACGAAGUGGAAGAGAGAAAUGUGGGCAUGAAGGAGUGGGACUGACGGAUUGUGAACCUGAGAAAACCAUGCAGCAGAAUGUGAAAAGUUGAUGGUGAUCAUGCCCAUGGGACACGUAGUGGCUAUGGCAGGAGGACAGGCUGAGCUCAGCUGUCAGUUGUCCAUACCAUGUAGUGCAGAGAUGCAGCCAGCAUGAACUUGAGUUUGGCAGCACUUGGCUUGGAGACCCAGAUCCAUGUUCAGGCUUCUGGCACUAAAAGGACCCCUUGUGGAGUGUAGCUCCAGAUGAUGGUUCCCACAGCCCAAAAUGGAAUGGAGAGAUGGCAGAGGAGAAGUAGUUCCACAUUUAUCAAAAUCACACUCACAGGAUGGAGCCAAAGUGUUUGAUGUGAAGAUGACUCUUCUUCUCCAAAACCAAUCACAGGACAAUAUAACUUGUUGUAUUUACAAUCCUCUGACAACUGACAGGAAAUGAAUAAAUGUCAUCCUAGCAAGUAAGUAUUCACUUGUCUACAUGGAACCCGAAAGAGAAAACUAAUGAGUUAAUGUUCAAGAGCCAAGUACCAAAUGUGACUCUUAGUAAUGGUUGUACAUUUUGAUAAUGAAGAUGUUAUCAGGCUCUAAGAAGAGGACUUUAGAAGAAAAACAUAUAAGAAUAAUGACAACCCAUAAUUAAACCAUUAGAAUUUUUGAAGUAUUUGGAGUUCAUGAUUUUUUUUUCUUUCAAACUUUUAUUUAAUGAAUAUAAAUUUCCAAAGUACAGCUUAUGGAUUACAAUGGCUUCCCCACCAUAACGUCCCUCCCACCCGCAACCCUCCACUUUCCCACUCCCUCUCCCUUCCAUUCACGUCAAGAUUCAUUUUCAAUUCUCUUUAUAUACAGAAGAUCAGUUUAGCAUACAUUAAGUAAAUAUUUCAACAGUUUGCUCCCACACAGAAACAUAAAGUGAAAAAUUCUGUUUCAGUACUAGUUAUAGCAUUAAAUCUCAAUGUACAGCACACUAAGGACAAAGAUCCUACAUGAGGAGUAAGUGCACAGUGACUCCUGUUGUUGACUUAACAAAUUGACACUCUUGUUUAUGGCCUCAGUAAUCACCCUAGGCUCUUGUUACGAGCUGCCAAGGCUAUGGACGCCCCCUGAGUUCACCAGCUCUGAUCAUAUUUAGACAAGGCCAUGGUCAAAGUGGAAGUUCUCUCCUCCCUUCAGAGAAAGGUACCUCUUUCUUUGAUGACCCAUUCUUUCCACUGGGAUCUCACUCGCAGAGAUCUUUCAUUUAGGUUUUUUUUUUCCCCAGAGUGUCUUGGCUUUCCAUGCCUGAAAUAGUCUCAUGGGCUUUUCAGCUGGAUCCGCAUGCCUUAAGGGCUGAUUCUGAGGCCAGAGUGCUGUCCUGACGGUUGAUGUACAAUGUAAUACUUUAUCCAUUUUAGUAUUUUUUUUUGUUCUAGUACCAUUGGUUGAACUCUGUAAUUAACACACAAUUAUUCUUAGGUGUUUAAAUUUUAUCUGAAAAGUGAUCCCUGUUAGGAAUUUGGAAAACAUUAUGCUGAAUGUAAUAAGCCAAUCCCAAAGGGACAAAUACCACUUGUUUUCCUUGAUAGGUGACAACUAACUGAGCACCAAAAACGGUGACUUGAUCAGUUCAUGAUUUUUUUAAAAUGUUUAUUUAAUGAAUGCAUUUUUACAUAGAUACAACUUUAAGAAUAUAGUGGUUCUUUCCCCCAUAACCCCCACCCAGCUCCCAUCCUACCUCCCUCUCCCAUCUUCUUCUUCAUUAUGAUAAUUUUUAAUAUGACUUUAUAUACAGAAUACCAACUCUAUGCUAAUCAUAGACUUCAAUAAUUUGCACCCAUGCCCACACACAAUAUAUAGAGUACAAUUUGGUGAGAGAAUUUGCAGUCAGUUCUCAUAUUGCAAUUCAGACGAGAUCGGGUGUGUAUGGCCGUAGACUCUCAUUGCAAUUCAAUAGAGACAGAGGUCCUACCUGGGGAGCAAGUGCACAGUGACUACUUUUGUUCCUUUAACAAUUAACACUCUUUUUUUAUAAGGUCAGUGAUCAUCUGAGACUCUUGCCAUAUGCUGCCAAGGCUAUGGAAGCCUUUUGUGACCAUAGACUCCAUAGGUAUUUGGACAUGGCCAUAAGCAAAGUGGAUGUUCUCUUCUCCCUUCAGAAAAGAGUAUCUCCUUUGACGACCCUUUCUUUCCUCUGAAGUCUCACAAGAUCCUCCGUGUAGGAUAUUUUUUUGGUCACAGAGUCUUGUCUUUCCAUGCCUGAAAUGCUCUUGCAGGCCUUUGAGCCCGACCAGAAAGCCUUAAGGAUUAAUUCUGAGGUCAGAGUGUUAUUUACUGUGAAUGUCAUUCUAGGAGUCUGCUGUGUGGACUGCUUCCUAUGUUGGUCCUUCCUUCAUUUUUAAUUCUAUUGUUGGUACUUUAUGUUAUUUAUCUCAUCCCUUUUAAACUUAGACCGAUCUAUCUGUUGCCUUUAAUAUUUAAUAUGAUCAUUUAACAGUAAAGAUGGCGUUUAUACCACUGGUUCUUUUGAGUCUGGAGCCCCAUGACUAGUUCUUAGGCUGCACCCUGAGAGGUAAAUCUAUAUGCCUGUAUGCAGAACUAGACUGUUUUACAGUUUUAGACUACCUGCUCCAUCUCUUAUUCCCUCUCUUAUUUUUGACUGAGAUCUUUCUCCAAUUGCUUUAAAAUACGUAUAAUUAACUUUGUGUUACAUAGAGAGUUCAGCAUAUAGUAUGAAGUAGGGAAAUGAGAGAGAAAGAAAGAAAACAAAGAACAAACCAACAAAACAAAACAAAACAAAAAGGGUAUACACAGUAAAAAGUAACAAUGGUAAACUGUCCCUUGACAAUCAGGUCAAGGAUUCUUGAAGACAUUUGUUCUAAAAGUGGCAAUUUCGCUUUUUAGACCCUACCAAUAUUUAUGUGUAAAGUUACCAAAGCUCUAGUUCAGUAACUUAAAGGAUGUCACUAGGCUUCCAAAAUUAUAGUUUUAUCACCUUAAACUUAAUUACAAUUUAUGAAUGUUUGUGAACCACAAAUGAAUUAGUGGAAGCAAAAAGCUUUGCUUAAUGUCAUGCAAUAUUUGGUAAUAAUACUGUCAUUUCAAACUCCUUGAAAAUUCAAUAAAGAAGGAUUAUUAUGGCCAUUUUAUGUAGAGAGAUGGUCAGAGAAACCACUCAAACCAGCAGGAAGUAACAUGUAGACCUAAAGCCUGGAUUCCUGGUUAUUGGUGCAUCACUUACUCUUUGGAGGCUUGAUGGAUGGUUGUCAAAGGUCCCUCAGGAGAAGACCAUGCCCUGUGUGCAACCAAGGUACCACUAACACCUCUGUUGAGAAGGCAAGGUUGAAUACAGGAGCAAGGUGAAGGGUGGGACAAAUGUGGUUGCAGAUGUCACUUUAGGGUGUGCCUUUCUAGUCUAAUUGAAGACAUCGAUUUUCCUCUGAGGAUUUUCUGGAGGAUUAGAAAAUGAGCUGAAAAAUAUAAAUAUUUACUGGACCAGAUAGAAUUCUAUAACAGUAUUCUAAGAUGUACGUAGUAAGAGUUGGUAAAAUGCCUUAAACAUUUUAAAUGUACUGACGGUGUCUGUUGAUGGAUAGAACAUAGGGUAAGCAUGAACUAUAGAAAUGAAGAAUGAUUCCAAGGUUAUGAACCUAAGUCAUUAAAGAUAAAUUUUCAUCUCCUGAGCUGGGAAAAUUUUUGGAGUGAGCCCCACUUGGAAAUAGCACCAUGUUCAUAAGACUCGCAAGUGAAAAUGUUGACCAGGAGUGAGAUAAUCUUAGUCCUGUGAACACCAGGCUUGAAACAUAAUGUGGCUGUCUUCAAACUCAACAGACUACUUAAAAUAACAAAGCUGGACAAAGAAACAAAAGGAAUUAGAAUAGAUCCAGUUUUUCCUUUUAUAACUGAGACUCAAUACUGAAACUAAGGCUGCUUUUCAGCCCACUACAACCUCAAUAUGAAUGUUACCCUCAAGACAAUCCUAAUCCUUGUUUUUGCCUUGUUUUUAUCACUAUUCCAGUUACACUGAUACCUAGCCUUGAUCCAAACACAAAAUUGUAAAAAAAUGCAAGACGUGGUAGAGAAUUCUGCUUUAUUAACUACUAGUUCCUAAUCCAGUGGUGCUCCAUGUUGUGAGUUUAUUGAUCUCCAAAUGUUCUGUGCUUUCUUUCAGGGGCUCUGUUUAAUGCCGACCACAUUUGGAUGAAAAUUUGGAUUUCAUUGUUAAUUGUCAUAUUCUUUUUGGUUGUUAGGCGCAUCUGCUUUCUGGUUUACACUACAAACGGUAACAGACGUCACGAGGAUGGGAUCAUUCAAGGCAUUUCCUUUAGCUUUCUGCUCAGAUCAGAAAGGGCGAUCCCAAUGUUGGGACUCACAUAGGGAGAGUUAUGGCCUGUUUCUCACUUUAGUGAGUUCACACCAUUCAUUUAUGAGCUUCCCAAGGCAACAGUGUUUUUAGAAAGGAGGCCAAUACAGCUAUCUCUUAAUCACUUCAGAUCCACAGAUAAUUUCUAUAUCCUGAAUGGGGUGCUUUGUCUCUCAAGAAACAGUCACCGUCCAUUCAGUCAAAAUGAAGUGGAUCUAACUUCUGCUCAAUCAAAACCAUUUAGUGACAAAUGAAUCCUGCAAGUCUGCUGUGGGAUACAUUUAACUUGAUCAUAAGAUCCCUGCCUACCCAGAUUACCAUUAGUUUUCAAGAUUGCAACUUCCUCGAUUCAAAGUCUUGAGUAAAAUUAAUAUGAGAAACAGAAAAGUGUAUAAAGCAAUAGUAGAUCCCUUAUAAUCAUACCCUUCCUGAUGAUUUUUUGGCUGCACUAAAUGAAUAAAUCAUUCUUCCAAAACAAUACAGUAAUCCAUCAAAUAUGAGGUCUCUGUCAGAGAUAUCAGGUGUUUUUAAGAACACCCUUUUCUCAAUUUAUGACCAAGCAAACACAUCAUACAUAGGGAAAUAAAACUUCUAUAUAGAAAGAAUGUACAUUCAGAGAAUGGAGAGAUGAUUUACUAUCAGUAACAAUAAGAUGUAUUAACAGUAGCAAUAAGAUAACCAUAGCAAUAUAAAUUCCAAGUGAUAAAGGAAGGAUGACAUUUACCAGACUCAACAUUCUGAGUCAAGGAAGUUGCAAUCUGUUGUUCCUGUUAUAUCUAAUCCAUAAAUCCCUGUAGCACAUUUACGGAGUCAACACCUUAUGCUAGGGAAUGUGGUCAUUGUGAAUUCUUUACAGAAUUUAUGUAAAUUAAUCCUAAAAGGCAGUUCUAUUUUUGUCAUCACUUCACAGUUGAAGAUGGAAUGAGUCACAUAGGUUAUAAGUGGCAGAUCCACUACUAGACAACACAUUAGAACUUAAAUCUCAUGCUGUAGUCAUUAUACUAUUAUUUCCAGUAUUUGGUUUUGAGAUUAUUAUACACCCUCAUGCUUAAAGACACCAUUAGUCAUGAGACGGCCUUCCCAGAGUGAUUGUGGGAACUUUCUUCCCUUUGGACACCAAAUCAUUUCCUCAAAACAGCUCCAGUUAUAAUUCUGGAAGCACAAAGAGUAGGCUUUUUUCUGUUUUCCUAUGAAGGUCUUUCAGAGACUUGAGAUCAUAACCACACUCCACAAGCUUCCCUAUGUAUUUCCAGCUACUUCAACUUCACAAAUUUUUCAGUCUUUCUCCACAAGAAGGUGAUGUAAGUCAAAGAUCAACAUUUCAUGGAUGCAUAUGCACACUUUAGUAAUAUAUGGUAAAUACUUGUUAACGAUGUCUGCUUAGCUUAUGGAAACAAGGCUCUUAAUAAAGUGCUUCAAGGUAAAGGGUAUAAGUGUAUUUCCUGCACUACAUUAGAAGCCAAGAUCUUCUAGCUCUUCUGCUCUGUGGAUACAAGGCAUUUUUUUUUCUUUAACCCAAUGCUGUGUCACCAGACUAACCUCUCUCCAAACCCCAAAUCUCCAGAAUUCCCACCCAUCUGUUGGGGAUGACUACAGCCUCCCCCAAGACCUCCAGAAGGAUUAACUUUGCACUAGCUUAGGUGGUGAUAAUUAGGAAAGGAACCACUUCAUAACCCUGCUAGUUCUGCAAAUCCAAUCUCACUGAAACCUGCCACCACUCACAAACCAACCUCACAGCCUGACACCUACCUAGGUUUAUGGGGCAUGGAGGAAUGAGUCCUGCUGUUUAGACAGUCUUUAGGCUAGUGAUGCCCCACAGUCUGCUGUUCUUAAUUGAUUCUAAAUCUCUCUGUUCUAGGAUAUGCACAUCAAUGUCUUCAUGGGUUGAACUCAGGGAUUGGCCAAAUUUCAUGUUUUGCAUUCUGUUCUGCAAUAGUCCUUGGUGUGUAUUUGUCAUUCCGGAACAGAGGUAAAUGAGAUUGAUGAGUGUGGACUUUCCCGUGGCUGCUCUCCUUUUCCUGGAAAUCUUUUUCCUAGGGGCUGUUCCGUCAAAGGUGUGGUCCUUUCAAUAUUUCCAGGAGGAUCAGUGGUUGGGUGACAAUCCUAGUGGAUUAAGUUCUUGUAUCAAAAUUGUUGUAGGUGCCAAGAAGCUGCUCUGACUGCCACCAGGUUUUCAGUUGUACUAAUGGCAUAAUUCUUUCUACUACAGGCAGAAAGAACUUCCUACUACUAGCUUCAGAAAAUAUGCUUCACUCAGCCAUUCACUUACUUUGAAUGUUUUCUGAGUUUACUUAAAUGUUGUACAUUUGUGACUGUAGAUCAAUGCUUCUUAUCUAUUUGGGACUUAGAGUUUACAUCGAAAAUAUGACAUGAAAUAUAAAUGUUUCUAUCCAGUUAUAAUUCUAAUAAUUUCAAAGGUAUGUGCAAUUUCAGGACAUUUAUGAAGCAUUGAAAUCCUUCCUUCAGUCUAUUACUUAUGAAAUAUGGCCAUCAAUCAGAGGUGAAAUUAAUGAAUUAAUAUGGUAUUCAAAAACAGCAUCUUGAGAUUUAACAACUGUUCAUUAUUUAGAGAUUUAUAAGGGAAAUGUGUAUAUAGGACAGUUAUCACCAAUCAAGACAAGGAAAUACUUUAUUUUACUUGCUUCCAAACCACAAAGAAAAUUUCAGAAAAUUAAAGUGGUUGUCAUUAAUGCUGGCCUUCCUCCCACUUCUCAUCUCCUUGCUAGAAAGGCCUAUAGUCACAGCAUGCGUAAGCCUGUAUUUCAAGCAUUUCCACAGAGGAUUGCAGAACUUAUCAAAUCAGUAAACAAAAAGUCAUAUCACAAUGAAAUAUUAAUAUUAGCAAGUCAAGCACCUGGAUUCAGUGUGGGAAAAGUUAUAAAGCACCUAAGCCAACAUUUCCCUGGAUAUCUUCAGUUCAAUUGUUAGCACUCACUCCUAAGGAUUCUGUUGGAGCUGAUGUGUGGGGUCAAGGGACAAAGACAGUGAUUUUUUGAGUGAUUGCAAGAACCAGAGGAAGCCAAUAUAAAUUUCUCUCACUUGUCAAUGGUUUUUGAAGUUCAGUGACACCUCCCUAGCUGUGGUCAGCAAUUCCUUUUGCAUGAAUACCUAGAAGUUAAGCUCAAUCUUAUGGUAGGUGUUUGUUUGCUUUUAUAAGAAACUGCUGAAAUGACCUUGCCAUUUCAUAUAUCAUCAAAAACAAAUAAGAGCACUUGUGUCUCCUGCUUUUCAAUAUUGGAUUCUGCCCAUACUAAACCCAAGAAUCACAGUUGUGUAGCAGUGAUUUAAACACAGGUGUGCACAGCAAGUGGAUCUCAUCGCCUUUGGGGCUGAGGCUGUGCCACUGGAAGUGAAUCUGGAAGUCUUACACCCCUGCAGAAAAAAGGAGAAAAAGUACUAGGUUCUGUUAGUCUUUAUAAUUUUAGUCAUUUGUAUAGUGGUUUCUCAUCUUGGCUUUAAUUUUUUUUUUUUUUGAGAUUUCUAUAUAGGUAAAGUCAAGCAACACUUCUUUUUUAACACGAGUCUUUCAUUUAGCAAAAUGUCUGUCCAUAUGGGGUGUAUGUUAGUACUUCAUUCUUUUUUAUUGAUUAAAAAUAAUAGUAUGUAUAUAGAAUGCCCCCCAAUCCUUCAGACAGUGUACUCUGCUUUUUUUUCUAACUUGGACUAUUAUUAAUAUUUAAAUUCUGAACAUUUAUGAACAAGUUUUUGUGUGAGUAUAUAAUUUUCAUUUCUCUUGAGUGUCUAGCAGUAUCUCUACAUUUCACAUAGGAAAUAUGAAAAUGUUUUUCAGAUUGGCUUUAACAGAAAUGUAGGAAGAUUUUAAUUUCUAUUGACAUCUAAAAAUUGAGAUAUAUUUACUUUCUUUUCACUCUAUAUGCCUUUAAAAAAUAAAAUCACAAUAUUAAGAUAUGAUUGACAGACUAAAAACUGUACAUAUUUAAUGUAUACGACUUCCGAGGUUGCAAGCAUAUUCCUGUGAGACCAUCACUACAAUCUAUGUUAUAAACUUAUUUAUCACCUCCAAAUUUUUCCUCCUACUUUUGUACUAUUACUUCUUUUUAUGAUAAGGACACUUAGCUACCCUCUUAGCAUAUAGUGAAGAAUACAACACAAUAAUAUUAACUGCAGGCAUUAUGUUGGAAGUAGAUCUCUAAGAACUACAAUCCUCAUGUAACUGAUAUUUGCACAUUUUGACUAGCACCUACCUGUUUUAUGGUUUCUCCAGUCUCUAACAAUCAUUCCAUUCUCUGCCUUAAUUAAUCUGAUGAUUUUAGAUUCCCCAUAUUAAUGGUAUCAUGCACUGUUUGCCCUUCUGUUUGCUAGUUCACUCAGCAUGAUGUCCUCCAGGUUUAUCCAUGUUUUUGCAAAUGGCAGGAUUUCCUUCUUUUUAUAAAGUUUAUUCCACAUUUUUUGUUCAUUAAUCCAUUAAUGAUUACUUAGGUUAAUUCCUUGUCUUGGUUGUUAUGAAUAAUGCUGCAAUAAGCAUGGGAGUAAAAAUAUAUAUUUGAGAUCCUGAGUUCUAUUCCUUUAGAAGCAUAUAUAUAUAUAUAUAUAUAUAUAUAUAUAUAUAUAUCACUUUCUGUGUAGUUUUUCUCUGAUUUUGACAGCAGUGUAUUGCUGUAAGCUUGCACUUGGAAACUGGAGUUUUAUCAAUGCUAUUUUCAUUUGCAAAUAGUUGGCAAUUUUGUGUGUGUGUGUGUGUGUGUGUGUGUUUUCCAGGGUUGAAAGCUGAUGUAUCCUACUCUGCUAUAUUGCUUAAUUUUGUUUCUGAUUUCUUCUAUGUCUCUGGUUGUUUGUAUUUUUGAUUUCUUCAUAUUUGUUCAUUUUUCCUUUUAUUUCGAGUUUAAUUACAUUGUGUUCAGAAAAGAUACUUAGAUGUCUGGUAAUAGUAAUAGAUAGAAUUAAAAAGGAGAGAAUGUUCCAACAUGGGAAUCAGUUCACAUAGCAGACUCAUAGAAUGACAAUCACUCUAAACAGCAUUCUGAUCUCAGAAUCAGCUCUUAAGUCAUUCUGAUCUGGCUGAAAAUCCCAUGAGAGCAUUUCAGGCAUGGAAAGCCAAGACACUGUGGUAAAAAACGUUCUACAUGAAGGAUCUCUGUGAAUGAGACUCCAGUGGAAAGAAGUGGCCAUCAAAGAAGGAUUUACUUUUCUCUGAAGGGAGGAGAGAACUUCUACUUUGCUUAUGGCCUUGUCUAAAUACUGACAGAGAAUGUGGAUUCUAAAGGCUUCCAUAACCUUGGCAGCUCAUGUCAAGAGCCUCAGGGGGUCCCUGAUGUCAUACAUAAGAGUGUUAAUUGUUAAAUUAACCGCAGGACUCACUGUGCACUAACUCCUCAUGCAGGAUCUCUGUCCUCAAUGAGUUGUAUUAUGAGUUAACUGUAAAACUUGUUCUCAGUGUGUGUGUGUAAAUUGUUGAAAUCUUUACUUAGUAUAGAGCUAGUCUUCUGUGUAUAAAGUUAAUUGAAAAUGAAAUCUAAUGGAGAAUGAGAAUGGGAGGGGAGAGUGAGGAGGAGGAGGGGUUGGAGGGUGGGUAUUGUGGGAAGAAUCACUAUAUUCCUAAAGUUGUGCUUAUGAUAUUUGCAUUCCUUAGAUAAAAGGUUUCUUUGGGAAAAAUAAAUUAAAAAAAGAAAAGAUACUUGGAACGAUUUCACUCUUCUUACAUUUGUUAAGACUUCUUUUAUGACCUGUCACAUGAUCUAUGCUAUAGUAAGUUAUGUGCACAUUUGAGAAUAUAAAUUUGGUUGUUUUUGAGUGAAAUGUUCUGUAUAUAUCUGUUAAGUCCAUUUAUGCUGUGCAGUUCUUCAAGUCUGCUCUUGUUGAUUUACUGUCUGUAUGAUUGGUCUAUUAUUUUAUGUGGUGUAUUAAACUCUAUGUCUGCCUUCAGAUCUGUCAAUGUAUGCUAGGUGCAUACAAAUUUAAAAGUAGGUUACAAUUAUUUGAGAUCCUUUGGGCCUCAUGUAUCUGGAUCUUUAUUCCCCUCCCACCUCCAUACCCAGGUUUUAGAUAUUUUUUUAUUUUUUAUUUAGCAAAUAUAAAUUUUCAAAGUACAGUUAAUGGAUUACAAUGGCUCCCCCCCCAUAAUUUCCCUCCCACCCGCAACCCUCCCAUCUCCCGCUCCCUCUCCCAUUCCAUUCACAUCAAGAUUCAUUUUCAAUUAUCUUUAUAUACAGAAGCUCAAUUUAGCAUGUAUUAAGCAAAGCUUUCAACAGUUUGCACCCACACAGAAACACAAAGUGAAAAAUACUGUUUGAGUACUAGUUAUAGCAUUAAAUCAUAAUGUACAGCACAUUAAGGACAGAGAUCCUACAUGGGGAGUAAGUUCACAUUGACUCCUGUUGUUGACUUAACAAACUGACACUCUUAUUUAUUUAUGAUGUCAGUAAUCACCCUGGGCUCUUGUCAUGAGUUUCCAAGGCUACGGAAGCCUUUUGAGUUCGCCGACUGAUCAUAUUUAGACAAGGUCAUAGGGAAAGUGGAAGUUUUCUCCUCCCUGCCAUCUCUAGUAUUUCUGUUUGGUUUUCUUCUUUAUGUCUUCUAUCUCUGUCAAAUGUCUCAUUCUAUUAAUCUAUUGUUUUUCUGAUAUUGCUUAGUUGUUUAUCUGGGCCCUCCUGUAGUUUCUUUUAGAUGAUUAUUUCUUUAUCUUUUUUGAAAGAUUUAUUUAUUUAUUUGAAAGUCAGAGUUACACAGAGAGAGGAGAGGUAGAGAAAGAGAAAGAGAGAGAGAGAGAGAGAGAGAGAGGACUUCCAUCCGAUGGUUCACUCCCCAGUUGGCUGCAAUGGCCGGAGCUCAGCCGAUCCAAAGCCAGGAGCCAGGAGUUCUUCUGGGUCUCCCAUGUGGGUACAGUGGACCAAGGACCUGGGCCCUCUUCCACUGCUUUCCCAGGCCAUAGCAGAGCGCUGCAUCAGAAGUGGAGCAACAGGGGCUCGAACCCGCGCCCAUACGGGAUGCUGGCACUUCAGGCCAGGGUGUUAACCUGCUGUGCACAGUGCUGGCCCCCUAGAUGAUUAUUUCAAAUUUUUUCUUCUUGCUCGUAUAUCUCCAUUAAUGCUGGGUUGGUCUUAAGCUAUACUUUUUAUUGUGGUAGUAUCAUAUUUCCCUGAACUUCUGUGUUCUUUGUGGCUUGUUGUUGGUCUCUGUACAUUUAAAGAAGCAGUCAGCCAGUCUUUGCAGAGCAUUUUCAACUUUGUUUAUUUUCAGUACAACUUUUAUUUUAAAGUUUGCUUUAUCUAUUGAUAAACUAUCCAAUUCAUCUUCUGUUACUCUUUUCUUAGUUUUUUCCCAUUUCUUUACUUUGAAUCUAUUUAUAUCUUUGAACCUACAAUAUGUUUCUUGUAGACAACAUAUAUUUGAAUCAUGCUUUUCUAACUGAUUCUAAAAAAUAUCUGACUUUUUUCCAAUGCACUUGUUUCUUUUACAUCUAGGAUAGCAUUUACUAUUCCUUCCAUAUUUCUUAAUGUUUUCCAUGCACUUUUAUCUUUUGAUUCCCCUCUCCCUUGAUUAUUUUAUUUUUUGUGUAAAAUAGAUACUUUGUAUAGUGUGUCAUUUUAAUUUUUAGUUUUAUUAUUUUUUAUUUUUGGAGGUGUCCUUGAUAGUUUCUGUAAGUGCUACAGUUAUCAGCUCUAGCACAUCAAAUUAUGAACCCUAAAUAUCUUCACAUCCUGUUCCUGGGACUGUGGAUACAUUACUUUACAUAGUGAAAUGGAAUGUGCAGUUGUGAUUAGGAGCUUUGAGAGGGGAGAUUAUACGGAUUGUGUGGGUGGGUCAGUGUUACCAGAAAUGUCCAGUGAAAGGAAGCAAGGGGAUUGGAAUGAUCCAGAGAGAGAAGAUGUAAGGAGAGAAAUGCAUGUAAGAGUCAACGUGAUUGAAAAUAAAGAGCCAUCACAUACAGGUCAUUCUCUGAAAACUGGGAAAUGCAAUACAAUGGAUCCUUCCCCAGAGCCUACAGAAAGAGUGCAGGACUGCAAACACUUUGAGACGUAUUUAGGUUGUUGGACAAUUUUGGUUCCUUGCAUAUUUGUGGGACUCGGAUCCCAUUUCCUGGCUGGCUGUCUCUUGGGAGCCUAGAGGCUUCCCAAGGUCCUUUACAUCCUCUCCAAGUGUCUCUGUCAGCAACAGUGGGUCAAGUUCUUUUCCCUCUUGAACCUUUGACUUCUCCUUCACACAGUUCUCUCUGAGUCCAGCCAAAGUCUCUGCUUUUAUGGGCUUUACGAUUAGAUUAAAAUACAUUAAUGUUUUAAUGUUAAAUGUUUAAUGUUAAAUACAUUUUAUAUUUUCAGAAAAUCAGAAACAUACAUCAUUCUGUACCUCUGACGAUAUUAAUAAAUUAGUUCUUAGGUAUGAUAAUGGUAUUGUAGCUAUGUUGGGGGACAUUCUUUUUAUUGCUAUGUACUGAAAUAUUUAUGAAUAAAAUGAUGUAAUUUCUAAAUAUACUAUGCUGAUUUCUAUUUGGGUAAAUUCCCAGGAGUGGGAUGGCUGGAUCAUAUGGUUUGUCUUUAUUCAGAUUUCUGAGGUGCCUCUAUAGUGUCUUACACAUUGGCUGCAUCAAUUUACAUUCCCAUCAACAGGAUAUUAGGGUACCUUUUUCCCAACAUCCUCAACAGCAUUUGUCAUUUAUUGGUUUCUGUAUGAGAGUCAUUGUAACCGGAGCAAGGUGAAACCUCCUUGUGGUUUUGAUUUGCAUUUCCCUGAUGGCUAGUGAUCCUGAGCACUUAUUUAUGUGUCUGUUGAAUUUGAAUUUCACUCUGGAGACAUGCCUGAUCAAGUCCUUUGCCAAUUUCUUAUAACUGAAUUGUUUGUUUUGUUGCUAUUGAAUUUCUUGAUCUCUUUAUGGGUUCUGGCUAUUAAUUCUUUAUCAGUUGCAUAGUUUGUAAAUAUUUUCUCCCAUUCUGUUGGUUUCUCUUUACUUUGUGGAGUGUUUCUUUUGCAGUGCAGAAGCUUCUCAGCUUGAUAUAAUCCCAUUUGUCAUUUUUGGCUUUGAUUGACUGUAUUUCUGGGUCUUUUCCAAGAAGUCUUUGUGUAUGCCAAUUAUUUGCAGAGUUCUCCAAUGUUCUCUAGUAAUUUCAUGAUAUCAAGACAUAGAUUUAUGUCUUUGCCCUGUAGUAUGUCUUGCAAUCUAGGAUUGUAAUGCUUCUGGAUUUGUUUUUAUUAUUUAAGUUUGCUUUAGCUAUUCAGGGUCUCUUGUGCUUCCACAUGAAUCUCAGCAUCAUUUUUCUAGAUCUGAUGGGAAUAUCCUUGGUAUUUUGAUUGGAAUCACAAACAUUAUUGAUUUUAUGUGUUAAUUUUAUAUUCUGCCACUUUAAUAAAUUCUUUUAUGAGUUUCAACAGUCUCUUGGUGGAGUCUUUAGGGUCCCCUUUUGGGUUCCUUCUUUCCAAUUGUAUCUCUUUGAUUUCAUUUUCUUGCCUAAUGGCUCUGUGUAAAACGUCCAGGAUAAUAUUGAAUAGCAAUUAUUAGAGUGAGCAUCCUUGUCUGGUUCCAAUUUUAGGGGGAAUGAUUCCAACAUUUCCUAAUUAAAU